rnacentral:rRNA from 1 species
AGUGAACGCUGGCGGUAGGCCUAACACAUGCAAGUCGAACGGCAGCACAGUAAGAGCUUGCUCUUACGGGUGGCGAGUGGCGGACGGGUGAGGAAUACAUCGGAAUCUACUUUUUCGUGGGGGAUAACGUAGGGAAACUUACGCUAAUACCGCAUACGACCUACGGGUGAAAGCAGGGGAUCUUCGGACCUUGCGCGAUUGAAUGAGCCGAUGUCGGAUUAGCUAGUUGGCGGGGUAAAGGCCCACCAAGGCGACGAUCCGUAGCUGGUCUGAGAGGAUGAUCAGCCACACUGGAACUGAGACACGGUCCAGACUCCUACGGGAGGCAGCAGUGGGGAAUAUUGGACAAUGGGCGCAAGCCUGAUCCAGCCAUACCGCGUGUGUGAAGAAGGCCUUCGGGUUGUAAAGCCCUUUUGUUUGGGAAGAAAAGCAGCAGGUUAAUACCCCGCUGUUCUGACGGUACCCAAAGAAUAAGCACCGGCUAACUUCGUG